UAAAAGAAGCGCUCCUUACAACGGCCAGCCGGCUGAUCUCCCCGUCUCCGUCAGCAUUCCCACUAAAGCCGUCUUGUUGAGCACGAUUUGCUAGAUUUCAUAUAAAUCCACCUGAAACUUCCUCUCUUUCGCUCUCCCCGACCUUAUCCGUGAAGGAUCGUGUUUGUUUUUCAGGAAGUAGCUAACCUAGGGUCUGGAAAACCUAAUUCGGGCAAAUCUUCGUCAAAUUCCGACUAUAUUCGAGGUACGAUUUCGUGCGGUUCUGUAUAUGCAUCGGACAUUGUUGCCUCUUUUAGACCAAACGACACCGUUAAUCUGCCUGGAAACGCCGCAGAAGCAGUUGCGGUUUUCAUCUGCUUAAGAAACAGCACCUCUACAAUAUCAUCGUUGACUUGUUGUAACUAUGAUAAGCGGCAGCAUGAGACAAGAGGAUAUUGUGAGCGACAAUGUAUGGUUCCGUGGAUGAUUUUCCCAUUUUGCACAACAGAUGACCAAGAAGAGAACAUCUUCCAGGAGCUUGAAUGCCCAAGUCAUAUCCUUGGAUUGAGUAACCACGAGCUCCUUCAAACUGCCACACAGAGGAUCACCCGAUCGGUAAGCUGCUCCAGUGUAUGCCGGAGUAUGGUUGAAUUAGACUCAAAAACAUGAAAACUUUACCUGGAAGGCCGAAGAAGCAGUUCCAAAGACGAACCCAUCUGGGAAAUCAAGCCUACUAACUGAUUCUGAGGUCAUAAAGAAACGGGUUAGAAGAAAGAAAAGAAGGCUGACUUCCAUUGUGAUAGGUUUUGGAUAGAAUAUGAUCUUCUUCUUUUUUAUUUCUCAACGAGUUUCAUGAUGAAGGUUUUCUUGGAUAUUUGUAGAGGUGGCACGGGGAGGUUGGCUGAAAAAAACUUUAUUAACUUUGCUCUUUGUGUGCACGUUAUGCAAUAUACGUACAGGGAAGUCGGCAUCUCCCCUGGAUAACAGGGGAGGAUGCAUGCUAUACUAUUGUACAGAGAACAUCUUGACAAGAACAGCAAGUGCUAGCUUGUGUCUCUUUUAUUUUUUAACUGUUUGUAAAAAAAUAAAUAAAUCUAUUUACUUACCAUGUCA